AUUGAACGCUGGCGGCAGGCCUAACACAUGCAAGUCGAACGGUAACAGGAAGAAGCUUGCUUCUUUGCUGACGAGUGGCGGACGGGUGAGUAAUGUCUGGGAAACUGCCUGAUGGAGGGGGAUAACUACUGGAAACGGUAGCUAAUACCGCAUAACGUCGCAAGACCAAAAAGGGGACCUUCGGGCCUCUUGCCAUCGGAUGUGCCCAGAUGGGAUUAGCUAGUAGGUGGGGUAACGGCUCACCUAGGCGACGAUCCCUAGCUGGUCUGAGAGGAUGACCAGCCACACUGGAACUGAGACACGGUCCAGACUCCUACGGGAGGCAGCAGUGGGGAGUAUUGCACAAUGGGCGCAAGCCUGAUGCAGCCAUGCCGCGUGUAUGAAGAAGGCCUUCGGGUUGUAAAGUAC
rnacentral:rRNA from 1 species